AACAAACGCUGGCGGCGUGCCUAAUACAUGCAAGUCGAACGGGGAAAGCUUUCGGGUGAGUACUAGUGGCGCACGGGUGAGUAACGCGUGGAUAAUCUGCCUUAGAGUGGGGGAUAACUAGUCGAAAGAUUAGCUAAUACUGCAUAAGACCACAAGAACUGCGGUCCAAGGGGUCAAAGGUUUUUCGCUAUAAGAUGAGUCCGCGUAAGAUUAGCUAGUUGGUAGGGUAACGGCCUACCAAGGCGACGAUCUUUAACUGGUCUGAGAGGAUGAUCAGUCACACUGGAACUGAGACACGGUCCAGACUCCUACGGGAGGCAGCAGUAGGGAAUAUUGCACAAUGGAGGAAACUCUGAUGCAGCGACGCCGCGUGAGUGAUGAAGGCCUUCGGGUCGUAAAGCUCUGUCGCAGGGGAAUAACACAAUGAAGGUACCCUGUAAGAAAGGAUCGGCUAACUUCGUGCCAGCCGCCGCAGUAAUAC
rnacentral:rRNA from 1 species